rnacentral:lncRNA from 1 species
GUAAGGGUUCCCACCUCUUACCAUAUCUGUUCUUGGUUUCAAUUUGAGAAGAUCGACUUUGUGAAUCCCUUUUAUCUAUGAGAUUAGCGUUAGUUUCUCAAACGUGUGUGUUAUUUUCUGUUCCCUCUGUACCGGAGAUGAUCUAGGUUUCUGAAUUGUUCGAUUAGGAGAGUUUUAGAUCUGCAGAUUUGAGUUCGAGUUAAGCAGAUUUGAGGCUUGGUUCUAAUUGCAGGCCACGAGGAUUGGAAUUUCCUAUGAUCCCGCCUCAUAUUGCGACCGGAAAAGGGUGUGCCGGGUUACUUUGGUUGCUGUUGUUUGAAAUUUCAAGGUGGUUGGUUGGUGAGUUAAAUUUGUUGGGGGAGGGAUAAGGUUAUUGGUAUGAAGUUGCUGAUUGGUAUGGGUUUGAUGUUUGUGGCUGAGUUUACCUUUUGACUAUAGUGGAUUCGUGGGUAACUGGGAUGUGAUAAAAGGUUGUUGAUUGGGGGCUUCUAUGGGGAGAAUUGAGGUCAAGAAUACUAGGAAGCUGAAGAGAAGAUUAUCAUCUUGUUUUUAUGAGCCCGGUUUAUUUUUUGAUUUUCUUUCUUUGUUUGGUUGCUUUUAAGAGGUUAUGAUUGUAUAGGGUUUUUUCUGUUUUGACUUGCCAACAGAUAACCACAAUAGCUAAUUGUCGGUUUAUUGAUUAGAUUUUAUGUUUGGUCAUGAAAUAAAGGCACUACUAUACUAUUAUGUGAAUUAAAUAUAAAUAAGGUAAACUGAAACAUGUAGGAAAGGAUCUUUAUUUCUUUAUUUUUUUUAAUUAAUUUAAACAUACAAUCAUGUACGAAUUUUAGAGAAUCAAUAAGGGGCUGUUUGGUAGCCUCUUAAUGAUCAUUCAGAUGCUACCUCUUAAUGGUUUAAAACCUCUGAAUGAAUAAGAGGUAACUUCAAGUCUGAAUGGUUAAGAGGUAACCUCUGAAUGGUAAAUCAUCACAUUUCACAUUCUUUCACCUUCUCAUUGGUAAAAUUUUUAAUGGUUCCAUUAAGAGGUAGCCUCUUAAUGACCAUUCAGAGGCUAUCAAACAGCCCCUAAGUUUUUCAAGCAUUUGAUUUUAUUAUGGUAUUUCUAGAAUUGCAAGUUUUAUGUAUUUAUUUGAUUUUAUUAUGCUUUAAACCAUGUUACCGUAUUAUACCAGCUAGACUUCUAGUUUGUUUGUAUGAAGCUAGUUUUUAGCCGAAACGCAGGUCGCACGUUGUUAUGUUGUUUUUUACAUAUAAUUUUUGCAAUUUUCCUUAUCGAUUUAGUAUGUUACAUCCAAACUUUAUGAAAGUUGGUAAAAUAUAAAA